GGGCCGUUAGCUCAGUUGGUAGAGCAGGAGACUCUUAAUCUCUUGGUCGAGCGUUCGAGUCGCUCACGGCCCACCA
rnacentral:tRNA from 1 species